rnacentral:pre_miRNA from 1 species
AGUGAGAUAGUUGGGUCAUAUGGUGGUAUUCCUAGUCUUUUGAGGAAUCUCCAUACUGCUUUCCAGAAUGAUUGUACUAAUUUGCAGACCCACCAAUAAU